AUUGGCCUAAGCCGUUUUCAUGUGCGGAAAUAAAAGCAAUGAUUACAAGAGUUAUUGAUACAUCAUCAAGUUUGUGCACUAUAAAAAGUUCUGGAUUAUAAGUUGCCAUGUCCAACGCAGGGAUACUUUCGAACAAGAUGGGCCGCAAAGCAACAAUCACAUCCUACUCCGGUCUUUUCUCCACUCCUUCCUCGACAUCAUGUACCACAACUUGAUGCUGGUUGAAUGACAAAAAGAAAUAAGUUAGCUAGCAUCAGUUCAGAAUCUCACAACACUAUUUUGUAGUAUAAGCAAACUAAUGAAAUAGUAUCAACCAACAUAUGAUUUGUGCACUAUGCAUAAAAAAUCAAGAUUACAAAUAUAGUUUAGGAACGCAAUCACAAGGCUGUCCAGUAACCCAAUUUGUUUACUUGAAAAAGUCUCCAGAUGAACAGGGCAAUAUAUUGAUGUGAGGUGAGUUAUGAGGCAAUAGGAGGUGAAACCAAUGGGAGGAGGCCACCAAAUUAAGUAUCACUAACAAGCUUGUAAAGGUACACAGAAACUACCAAACAAAAGGCAGUAACAUUUCUCCAAAUGUGUGGCUCUUCUAGUCAGUUUUAAAAGAAUGAAGUGUGUUUUGUCUUUGCUUAUCUAUCAUCAAUUAACAGAGAGAAACAAGCUUAUACAAAGCUCCAGUCAAUAAUGCCACAAAGUAAAUAAAUAUAAAUGGAUGUAGUGCAAAACAAGAAGGUGAACUAGUUACACACCUUAUGCUAUCUACAUCUCAGAAAUCUCCUCCUUCAACCAAUAAAGCCGAA
rnacentral:lncRNA from 1 species